rnacentral:rRNA from 1 species
ACAAGCGGUGGAGCAUGUGGUUUAAUUCGAUGCAACGCGAAGACCUUACCUAGACUUGACAUCCCGGGAAUUCUUAGGAACUAGAAGUGCCUUUCGGGGAGCCCGGUGACAGGUGCUGCAUGGCUGUCGUCAACUCGUGUCGUGAGAUGUUGGGUUAAGUCCCGCAACCGAGCGCAACCCCUAUCUUUAAUUGCCAUCAUUCAGUUGGGCACUUUAGAGAGACUGCCGGUGUUAAGCCGGAGGAAGGUGGGGAUGACGUCAAGUCCUCAUGGCCUUUAUGUCUAGGGCUACACACGUGCUACAAUGGGUGGUACAAAGAGCAGCUAACUCGCGAGAGUAUGCAAAUCUCAAAGAGCCAUCCUCAGUUCGGAUUGGAGUCUGCAACUCGACUCCAUGAAGUUGGAAUCGCUAGUAAUCGCGGAUCAGCAUGCCGCGGUGAAUACCGGUUCCCGGGCCUU